rnacentral:rRNA from 1 species
GACGAACGCUGGCGGGAUGCCUUACACAUGCAAGUCGAACGGAGUGGCGAACGGGUGAGUAAUGUAUCGGAACGUGCCCAGUAGCGGGGGAUAACUACGCGAAAGCGUAGCUAAUACCGCAUACUUUUGGAGCGGCCGAUAGCGGAUUAGCUAGUUGGGGGGGUAACGGCUGACCAAGGCGACGAUCCGUAGCUGGUUCGAGAGGACGACCAGCCACAAUGGGACUGAGACACGGCCCAGACUCAUACGGGAGGCAGCAGUGGGGAAUGUUGGACAAUGGGGGAAACCCUGAUCCAGCCAUCCCGCGUGUGCGAAGAAGGCCUUCGGGUUGUAAAGCACUUUUGGCAGGAAAGCGGUACCUGCAGAAUAAGCACCGGCUAACUACGUGCCAGCAGCCGCGGUAAUAC